rnacentral:rRNA from 1 species
UAAAGCGUGCGCAGGCGGUUUGUAAGACUGUCGUGAAAUCCCCGGGCUCAACCUGGGAAUGGAGAUGGUGACUGCAAGGCUAGAGUUUGGCAGAGGGGGGUAGAAUUCCACGUGUAGCAGUGAAAUGCGUAGAUAUGUGGAGGAACACCGAUGGCGAAGGCAGCCCCCUGGGUCAAAACUGACGCUCAUGCACGAAAGCGUGGGGAGCAAACAGGAUUAGAUACCCGAGU